rnacentral:rRNA from 1 species
CAGGUCCCACAGCAGUAGUUAGCCCCUGUAAGCGACCCACCUUUUUAACAAUUAACCUUAAAUUAGGUAAGACUACCUACUAAACUUAAGUAUAUUAAUAAAUAGAGGAAAAGAAACUAAUAAGGAUUACCCUAGUAAUAGUAAGUAAAAUAGUAAUAACUUAAAUUUAAAAUCUAGCUCUUAGGGCCUAAGUUAUAAUUUAUAAAGGAUACUUUUAGUAAGGUGCCUUCUAAGUUCCCUAAAAUAGGAUAUUAUAGAGGGUAAGAGCCCUAUAUAGUUAGACACUAAGCCUCUAUAAAGCUCCUUUAAUAAGUUAAGUAGUUUAGGAAUACUACUUAAAAUAGGAGGUAUAUAUCUUCUAAAGCUAAAUAUUAGCUAGAGACUAAUAAUAUAUAAGUAAAGUAAUUAAAAGAUAAAAAGUACUUUAAAAAGAGGGUUAAAAAGUAUAUAAAAUUAUUAAAAGGGAAAUACUUAUAAUUAGACUUAUACCUAGUAAAUUACCUAGUGUUCUUACUAGUAUACUUUACUAGGUAUAGGCUAGUAUUAGUUUAGUAUAGGGGAGAAAGACUUUAGGAAUAUAGCUCCCUUAAGAGUAUUAUAGCCUACUAUAUAAUACCUUAUACUAGACUAAGGUAUACGUAUUAUAAGGAUACUAGUAUAAUAGUUAUUAGUAACCUAUCUUAAAAUAUAGACUAAGGAGUUAUCUUUAUAUAUAAGUAUUUAGGUAUUAAACCCCUAUAUAUAAUAAAAGUAAAUAUAGGUAAGAGCUUUAGUAUAUUACUAACUAAUCCUAAUAUUCUUAGAUAGAUUUAAGUAAGAGUAUAUAAGGCUAGACCUAAAAGAAGGUAAACUAUACCUAUAUAAGGUAAAGCUAGAGGAAACUCUAGUAAAGGCUUAUAGUAGUUCUAAUAUAUAAAUUAAUUAUUAAAUAUAAGUAUAAGGGUAAAAGACUAAUUAAACCUUCUAGUAGCUAGUUUCUACUAAAGUUUCUCUUAAGAUAAUAGUAUUAAACUUAGUUUUAUAAGGUAAAGUAAAUAAUUAGGGACUUAGGGGUACUAUAUUACCUUUAUUUAUUCUUAAACUUUAAAUAUAUAAGAAGCCCUUAUUACUUAAUUAAAUAUAGGUAUUUAAAUAUAUUAAUACUAGUAGGCUAUUUUUAGUAAGUAGAACUAGUAAUAUAAGAUAAACUAAAUAUAAGGUUAAGGUACUAGAGUAGAUACUUAUUAAAUAUUAUAAAAGGUAUUAGUAUAUCUUAAUAGUAAAAUAAUAGCUAUAAAAGUUAGAAUUUAUUAAGGACUAUAUAAUAACUUACCUACUAAAUAUACUAGCCCUAAAAAUAAAUAGCGCUUAAGCAUUCUACCUAUACCUUACCCUUAGGGUAUAAAUAAAGCCCUAAGGAGUAGGUAGAUAUAGAGGUUAGUAAUAAAGCCUAGGGCGUAAGCCUAGGUUAAAUAGCCUCUAGUGUAGAUCUUAGUAGUAAUAGUAAAUACUUUAAUAAGAACUUAAAGGACUAAAGUAAAGAAAGAUUCUAUAUAAAUAGUAGUUAAACGUAGGUUAGUUAAUCCUAAGCUAUAAGGAAGUUCUAUUUUAAAGGCAUACUAUAUAUUAUAUAGUAAAAGGGAAGCUAAUUAAUAUUCUAGUACCUAAAUAUAGGUUUUACGCGGUAAUAUAACUAAAUAUAGAGAUAAUAGUAAAAGCCCUAAGUAAAGUUCUCUUUUCUUCUUAAUAGUCUAUUACCCUAAAAUUAGUUUAUCUAAAGCUAGGGUUUAAUAGCUAGAAGAGUCUAGUACCUCUACUAGGUUUAGUAUACUCUUAAUAUCCCUUAAAAAUAUAUAAGAAGGAAUAAUUCUUAUAUUAGGUUAUACUUAUAACUAUAGUAGGUCUUUAAGGUAAAUAGCCUCUAGUUAAUAAAAUAAUAUAGAUAAAGGAAAUUAGUAAAAUAGAUCUAUAACUUUAGGAUAAGGAUUAGCUCUAAGGGUUAGGUAUAUUAGGCUUUAGAAGGACGCCUUAGGAGUAGGCCACUACUAGCUAGGCAACUAGCUAGCAGCAGCUAGUAUCUAGGCGCUAAUAUCCUUAGUAGGCUUUAGCCGUCUAGUAUAUAGUUAAUAACUAACUUAGAACUAGUAUAGAUAAGGGGAAUCUAACUAUCUAAUUAAAACAUAGUAUUAUAAUAGCUAGAAAGUAGUAUUAACGUAAUAUAAUUUUUACCUAGUACUCUAAAUAUUAAAGUAAAGUAAUUUAACUAAGCAUAGGUAAAUAGUAGGAGUAACUAUAACUCUCUUAAGAUAGCUAAAUACCUUAUUAUCUAAUUAGUAACAUAUAUAAAUAGAUUAAUAAGAUUCCUACUAUCCCUAUCUACUAUCUAGUAAAACUAUAGCUAAGGGAAUAGGCUUAGUAGAAUUAGUAGGGAAAGAAGACCCUAUUAAACUUAACUCUAGUUUAAUAUUAUAAAAAGAUAUAGGAGGUAUAGAAUAGGUAGGAGCUUUAGCGCUAGUAAAAUACUACUACUCUUAUUAUUUUUUUACUUAUUUAAUAAAAUAAGGAUAGAUUUUUAUCUAACUUCUAGUUUUAAGGUCCUUUAUAGGCUAACCUAGGUUAAAGACAUUAUUAGGUAGGGAGUUUAGCUAAGGUAAUAUAUCUAUUAAACUAUAACAUAGGUGUCCUAAGGGGGGCUUAUAGAGAAUAGAAAUCUCUAGUAGAAUAAAAAGGUAAAAGUCCCCUUAAUUUUAAUUUUUAGUAUAAAUAUAAACUAUAAAAGUAUAGCCUAUUAAUCCUUUAGUCCCUUAACAUUUAAGGCUAGAGGUACUAGAAAAGUUACCACAGGGAUAACUAGCUUAUAACGGCUAAGCGUUUAUAGUGAUAUUACUUUUUAAUCCUUUAAUAUUAGCUCUUCCUAUUAUACUAAAAUAGAAUUUAGUAAGCGUUAGAUUAUUUACCUACUAAAUUUAUUUCUUAUUAGUAAAGAUAGUUAGGUCUUAUUAGCAGGAUUACGCUAGCUAGUUAACAUAAUAUACGCUGUAGGUGUUAUAUGGCGAUAUAACCUAGAUUAGGGGAGGCUAAUAGCCUAUAGGCCUAUACUAAUCUUAAGUAUAGUCCUAGUAAAGUGAUCUUCUAAGAUAUAUAUAAAGCGUGGAAAAGUGUAGGUGACUCUUCUAGCUAUGCCUAGAAGGUUACUUAAGGGAUAUACUAGACCCACGGGAAACCGUGCUAGAUACGAAGGACCUAUAGUCUAGAUCACUUAGGUAGCUUUAAGGCUAGGAGGAAAUGCCUAGAAGAGCCUAGUAUACUAUAUAGUAAGGGGAUAAGACACGUGUAGUAGUAUGUAGGCAUAUAUUAUUUAUACCUAUAUAGUAUUUAAAUAGGGAAUAUAAGCUAGGUUUAGACCGUCGUAAGAUAGGUUAGUUUUACCCUACGAAUAACCUCACUAUAAUAGUAAUUUAGCUUAGUAUAAGAGGAACUACUAAUUUAGAUAAUUAGUUUUUAUAGCUAUCUAACUAGGUAGUACUAUAAUACUACCAUCUGCUGGAUAAUGGCUGAACGCCUCUAAGUCAGAAUCCAUGCCAGAACGCGGUGAUACCACCCGCACGUAUAGAUGGACAAGAAUAGGCUUCGGCUUUGCGUCUCAGCAGGCGAUUCGUCCACGGCCACGGAAGAGUGGUUUUGGUAUUUCGCGUAUUAUAAUUUCAACACGAGCGGGGUUAAAUCCUUUGCAGACGACUUAGCUGUGCGAAACGGUCCUGUAAGCAGUAGAGUAGCCUUGUUGUUACGAUCUGCUGAGGGUAAGCCGUCCUUCGCCCC